CAACUAUUGUACCAUUCGCUAGCUCGAAUAAACGCUUAGUUAAACCAUAUAACUUGCUUAUUCGCAGUUUCCUCGACAGCAUCCUAUCUUCGAAUAUACUAUUAUCGUCGCAACGAUAAACAAGUGAGUAAGCAGUCAAUUGAUUCAAACUUUCGACUGUAAGUAAUUGAAUUCGCGUAACAGUUUACCUCCGUACUAGUGGCGAACGUUCUUUGGAACGUAAGUGCUGGGUGCCAUUAUAAACGCCAUCAUUAAAGUGGAGAGUUGCUAGGGGUGACGGCGUAAGGAGGAAUUGGGCCGCGAGAAGCAACAUCUGCGCAUUACGAAACACGAUAAAAUUACGACCAGACGGAGGAUCUAGAGGAGAGAGAUAGGAUGGAGGAGGACGCGCGGAGCACGUGUCGGCCGAGUGAUCGAGGCAUUAUUCGGACAUGACCUCGAUAUCGGAUGUUCAUGCUUGACAAGGAAUCCGGCGCAAUUAGGCGAGAGAGCGAGCGGGGCCGAACGCAUCGGCGGCAAUUACUCCCGGCACUGCGGUUACACUAUGCUACUCCGAGGGGAGAAAUGCAUAGCGAGACGAGAUGAGAGGAGACGAGACGGGACGGGACGGGACGGGGACGGUCGAGCAUCAAAACAGCCUCAUUAAGGUCAUUAGCGUUCGUCCGGCUGCAAAGGCUUUCGCGUAAGAGUAGCGGGUGCAGAGUCCGUGCAUGCCUGUGCACAUUGUGUCGUCAAAGGAACGCGUUCCGUUCCGCGUCUGCGAAACCUACCGUUUCACACGGCGCGCUGCCUGUUACGAAGCCCUGCGGACUGCAUCUCGCACCGAGUCGCAUUUGCACGGUGAAAGACGCGCCCGAAAUGGCACGGGACCGUGCCGAGGAGAUGAGAUUUUCGCUAAUUUCCAUUCGAAUCCUACCGUUGCGCAAAGUUCGCAUUCCGCAUUUGGGAGGAAAUUAUGGCCACUCUUACGGAUAAAUUGAGAUGAAAUGGUGCACACACAUUGAGCGUCAUAUAUAUCUUAAUGUUUAAAUAUUUGUGCAUCACGG